CUGGAGCAGAAGGUUGAUGGCGUGCGGGGCUUGCGAGGUUUUGCCGGUCUGCAUGAUACCGUUCUCAUGCGCUGAGAUGCACGAUUAGUUGUGAUCUUAAAAUCUGUGUUUGCUUCACUAAACCUACAUUCUUCUGCAAGGCAUCUGACUUUUGUAAGAUCUUCUUUGAAUCGUUUCCAUCAAUGCAUCAGUCAAUCAAUCUUCACCAACACCACACACCAUCAGCAACUCCAUUUUGUUGUUUCUUCUAAUGGAAACGGCUCUCCAUGAGAGUUCUGAUGAGUUCGAGUGAUGAACGAGGACACAGUUUGGUGAGAGUAAGUGAAAAUCACACUCUCUUCCUCCACUCAGCGACUUUUAUGUAAAACAGUGCAA
ensembl:lncRNA